UCUUUUUAGCCUUUUUUGCAUGUUCAAUAUACUCCCUCCAUUACACUUGCCACUAGAUUUUCCAAGAGGUGGUGGUGGUGAUCAUGGUGCAGCAUUUUUGCAUUGGAGUCCAGUUUAGUAGGCAAAUACUCUGUUGUAUUAUAGUUCAGGGGAUCUUGUAAUCCUUUAUUGCAUGUUCAUUGGACUUCCUGGAUUACACUUGCUUGUUGACGUUCCAAGAGGUGGUAAUGAUCAUGGUGAGACAUUUUUACGUCAGUCAAAGUAUAGUUUGGAUGAGACAUCACAGGAAACUUGCAUCUGCUGUGUGUUCUUGUGCAUACAAUGUAAGAUCUAUGAUGGGAAAGAAGGGAGACCAAGACAAAGAUGGCCAGAGGAUUGUUUAAAGAAUAUAUUUUGGUUGUGGUGGCAACCCUAAGAUUGAGAACUCAAUCCAAUAUGAAUUGGGUUCUUGAUUUUUCAUUUGGACUUGUUGGGGAUGUAAUGUGUUUAAAAAGAAAAGUUUGAUCAUGUUAGUCUUGGAAAACUAACAAUUGAUGGAACUUGAAAGUCUUGAAUUUUUAGCAUUGGGCGCUUUAGUCCAUAAUGAUUUCUAGUUGCAGUUUCUUC